rnacentral:tRNA from 1 species
GCCUAGGUGGCUCAGUGGUUGAGUGUUUGCCUUUGGCUCUAGGCAUGAUCCCGGGGCCCUGGGAUCAAGUCCCACCUUAGGUU